rnacentral:lncRNA from 1 species
GUAACCUAGGGCCUUCACACUGAAAAAAAUGAAUAUGAAACUAAUGCAGAGAUUUUGACUCUACUGUCCUAUACCAAAGCAUCUAAGAGCCUGCAGGCUGCUGAUGGUGAGAGUGAAAUCCGUCCUAGACCCACUGCCACUGAACCUGUCUGGGACCCCAGGCUCCCUGGUGGAUGCCCACUAGAUGAGCAGUUUAGGAGACGUCCAGGUUUGUGCUGGUACCAGGAUACGUAGUUAUAGCUGCUCCACAAAGGACCCUGGGUGAACUUGCAGCUAAUGGUGACCCUCUGUCCUGCAGACACAGCCAAGGAGCCUGGAGACUGGGCCAUC